CUCCGCUUGACCGUGGCGGUCGCCGGGCAGCAGAGCCCGGGCGCAGCGAGCGCAGCGCAGCGCAGGGAGCGCAGGCGGUGGCGGCACCAGGUUCCCGGGGCUCCAGCGCUCGGCGCAGCGAAGUAGCCUCCGGCGGUGGCAACUACGGCGGCGGCGCCGGGGCGAUGCUGUGGGUCUCGUUGGGCGCCGGUGUCCUGGCCUCUUCCUCAGAUGAAAAGAUUCUGAAGAAUAGAGAUCUUGAACAUAGCAUGGUGCCAGACACAUAACAGAACGAAGAACAAACUAAAUUCAUCUCAAAAUGAUUAUAAAUCAUCAAGAAGGAGUAGCCUGCCACCUGAACUACUCAUAGGAAAUGACAUUAGAGGAAGACUUCAAAGAAACAUUAAGAACUUGGAUCCCAUUCACCUGAGGCACCCGAAGAAGAGACCAUCCAUAUUUCCAGAUCAAGCUUCAAAAAGUGCAUGGUGGUUAUGCUGUUGAAGAACUUAGACAAGAAAAUAACUCACUUGGCAGUGAGCACAGUGGAGAAUCAAAGAAUCAAUGAAUUGUGGAUCUGAAAGAAAUAGAGAACAUCAAAUUCAGUGCACUCAUUUUACAGAUGAAAAACUGUAGACCUACAAAGACAGUUGACAUGGAGGGUCUUCUGAUUCCCGUAAUGUUCUAUAGCAUCAUCCUUCAUGAGAUCAUCACAGAAACCUAGUUUAAGAACCUCUGGGUCAUUUUUGUAUGCAUGAAAAGUGAGAAGAAAAUGAUACCCACACCUUCCUGUGGGUCCAGAGGCCAGCAAUCCAUGCAUCAACCUGUGUUUAUUAAAUACCCACAUGCCCUCUGCUGUGCACCAGAUAUUGGUGGGCAGGGCUGGUGUGUGAAUUAAAAAAUACACGUCAGUCAGACUUGGUGAGACACUUACUCACAGGUGAGCCUUAGCCUAGUGCACAGCAUCAAGACCUCAACUGGUUUUAUUUUGCAGUCCAUCCUUAAGAGAGAAAAAGUCUUUCUUUGAUGAAAAUAGCCAUUAGGUGCAAAAGAGGAGAUUUUAGUUCAAGGUAUUAUAGCUCUAGCUGAAGGAAACACACAGGAAAUGUGAUUCUCCUCAGAGAUGUGAUCCAGGAGAAAACCAGGAUCCUAAACAUUCCUUUUUGAGGAAUAUGUCUCAGGAAAUAUUCCUUUUGAAAGGUAAGGGUCUACCAAAUGGUCACCAUCCUCACAGACAGAUUUGUUACAACUCCCAUUUCACAAUGAGGAAACUGAGGCGUAUGGAAAACAAUCUGUUAAAAGUUAAGAGAACAAAUUUGAAACUGGGUGAAAAAUUGCAACUUCUUAGCUUUAAGUUCUCCUUUACCAAAUAUUCUCUGAAGUUUAUUCCAUUCUCAUGUUAAAAAAAAUUGUAACCAAAAGCAGCAUUACUACUAUGUAUCUUAGUAGUUGAACAAUAAAGUGCAUCAUUUUUC
rnacentral:lncRNA from 1 species